rnacentral:rRNA from 1 species
GUGAGGAAUAUUGCACAAUGGGCGAAAGCCUGAUGCAGCAACGCCGCGUGAGUGAUGAAGGCCUUUGGGUCGUAAAACUCUGUCCUUGGGGAAGAAAAAAAUGACGGUACCCUUGGAGGAAGCCCCGGCUAACUACGUGCCAGCAGCCGCGGUAAUACGUAGGGGGCAAGCGUUAUCCGGAAUUAUUGGGCGUAAAGAGUGCGUAGGUGGUUUUGUAAGCGUAGGGUGAGAGGCAGUAGCUCAACUAUUGUUAGCCCUGCGAACUGUGAGACUUGAGUACAGGAGAGGAAAGUGGAAUUCCUAGUGUAGCGGUGAAAUGCGUAGAUAUUAGGAGGAACACCAGUGGCGAAGGCGACUUUCUGGACUGUAACUGACACUGAGGCACGAAAGCGUGGGUAGCAAACAGGAUUAGAUACCCCUGUAGUCC